rnacentral:rRNA from 1 species
UAGUCCACGCUGUAAACGAUGUCGAUUUAGAGGUUGUGGUCUUGAACCGUGGCUUCUGGAGCUAACGCGUUAAAUCGACCGCCUGGGGAGUACGGCCGCAAGGUUAAAACUCAAAUGAAUUGACGGGGGCCCGCACAAGCGGUGGAGCAUGUGGUUUAAUUCGAUGCAACGCGAAGAACCUUACCUACUCUUGACAUCCAGCGGAUCCUUUAGAGAUAGAGGAGUGCCUUCGGGAACGCUGAGAC